AUGUGUGAACAACACCCUUGUGACAAAAUGGUGGCCGUAGCAGGUGGGUGGAGUUAUAUGGCUGAUCCAGGUUGGUCAAUUCAAUUCAGGUGGGUGGGGCUUAGUGCAGAUUCACAUAAAUACAGUCGGAUUUGUGAGGGACCUCCAUUUUGCCUUUGGACCCCCUUUGGAUCAGGACUCCUUUCUGCUUUUGGACCUUCUUGGAUUUGGACUCUUUUCUGCUUUUGGACCUCCUUGGAUAAGAACUCUUUUCUGCUUUGUUUAAAGAAAGGAGUUUUGGAAGACAUGGAAUCUCGAAAAAAUAGUUAAAACUGGGUGGUGAUCUCUCCACCAGGGCCAGUGGGCGAGGCCACAAAUGGCCUCACCCCCAGGCCCUAGUGAAAGAGCCCACCCCCGGCCCUAAAUCCACUGUGAAGGGGCAGGUUCCACCGCCCUGUCCCAUCACCCUGCCUGGCUGCUGACAGUCUACGGCUACGACGUUCUAACACGCCUGGAGGAGUACAAGGCCAGGAUCACGUCCACCUUUGGAUCCAUCCUGAAAAUGGCUUCAACCAGGAAGGUUUUUAUCGCAUUAAACUGAUUCUUGUGUCCACACACUUCUACCGCAACAAAAAUAUCUCUUUCCAGGUGACAAGGAAGCUCGCCGGUACAGCCUGUGACUGACACCGUGCAACCAACGUAGCGAAGGAGUAUUGGCAGGUCCUUAUGAGGGUCCUUACUUGUUCUGGGGGCCUGUCCAUGAUGGCAGCAGCUGGACUGAUGAGACGGUACCAACUCGCCAGGGAACGUCCCCUAGGGUCACCCGUGUGGACAGGACUGCUGCCUGCAAUAGUUAGGUGUGUCAAAAACAACGACCCUUGUUUCAUUUAUAUUAUAUAGAUUGUAGCCUGGAAGACAUAAAGAAAUAUAUGCACGCGUGUUGCACUGUCUGAUGAGGCACUUUGUGGCAGGUGUAACGACACAGAGCCGUGAGCUGUACCCAACCUUUAUUAGGCAGCUGUCACACGGCAUCUUCACAAAACAACAAAGGAGUGGCAACUCCACUGUUGGAGUGGAGGAGUCAGCAAUCCUGAUCCAGAACCUCCUGGACUCCUUUGGUGGACCUGCAGGACACAACUCUAUGAACAUCCCCUUGUUGAACGCAGCCAGUAUGGAAAGCAUAUGAACUACGCAGAUGUGCCACCUCAGCUGCAUCCAGGACCCGCCAUGUGUGCAGCUGCAGCUACUGUAUUAAUACUUAUUAUAACAAGAGGUGGUGUAAUUAGUUACUACUGAUCAAGUGACAAUAGAGAACUGAUAAAAUACUAAGCUGAAGCAAAUAAAUGAGACAGGUUUUGUUCA
rnacentral:lncRNA from 1 species